UAAUACAUUAGUAUUACUUAUAUAUGUUUUUAUAUAUUUUUUGUUUUUAUAAUAGUUUGUAUACAUUUUAAUAUUGAUAAUAAACAUAGUUGUUAUAUACUUCACUUCCUGCAUCCUGUACAAGUGAUUCAAGAAAGGGAUAGUGUCACCCUACAAAUUGACACUGAAUCUAUAUACUUAGAGCCAGUUAAAAAGGCUCUAAAGAAGGUGAGCACUUUUCUGGAUUUCAUUUAUACUGAUACACAUUGGUAUUUUAAAAUACUACAUUUAGUUUGGACGUUUCAUUCUCUGUUUCAUCUUAUAUACUCUGGAGAGUAACAGACGUUCCUUCACUGAGAGAGAGGGGUUGUGUGGUCUACCCAAAAGACACAGACGCUUGGAAGUUUAGAGCCUUAUCACUGUAAAAGGCUCUAAAAAAUGUGAGUUAAUUUACGUUACAACUCACACGUAUAAUCUAAAUUUUUCAGACAUAUUGCACUAUUAUUUG